rnacentral:rRNA from 1 species
GAGUGCCUCGAGCGUUAUCCGGAAUCAUUGGGCGUAAAGGGUGUGUAGGUGGUCAUGUUAGUCUCACGUUAAAUAUUGCGGCUUAACCGUAAAAAUGCGUGGGAAACGGCAUGACUUGAGCGUGCAAGGGGUCUCUGGAACUCUAGGUGUAGCGGUGAAAUGCGUUGAUAUCUAGGGGAACACCAAAAGCGAAGGCAAGAGACUGGGGCACUGCUGACGCUGAAUGACGAAAGCGUGGGUAGCGAAUGGGAUUAGAUACCCCAGUAGUCCACGCCCUAAACGAUGUUCAUUAGCUAUUUCGAGUAUCGACCCUCGGAGUGGCGUAGCUAACGCGUUAAAUGAACCGCCUGGGUAGUACGACCGCAAGGUUA